UACGAGAGGUCCAAACGUUUAUUCGGAAUCACUGGGCUUACAGAGUUCGUAGGCGGUACGGAAAGUGGGGUGUGAAAGCCCUCGGCUCAACCGAGGAACUGCGCUCCAAACUACCGUGCUAGAGGAAGAUAGAGGUGAGCAGAACUGAUGGUGGAGCGGUGAAAUGCGUUGAUAUCAUCAGGAAUACCGGAGGCGAAGGCGGCUCACUGGGUCUUUUCUGACGCUGAGGAACGAAAGCUAGGGGAGCAAACGGGAGU
rnacentral:rRNA from 1 species